rnacentral:rRNA from 1 species
GACGAACGCUGGCGGCGUGCUUAACACAUGCAAGUCGAACGGAAAGGCCCUGCUUUUGUGGGGUGCUCGAGUGGCGAACGGGUGAGUAACACGUGAGUAACCUGCCCUUGACUUUGGGAUAACUUCAGGAAACUGGGGCUAAUACCGGAUAGGAGCUCCUGCUGCAUGGUGGGGGUUGGAAAGUUUCGGCGGUUGGGGAUGGACUCGCGGCUUAUCAGCUUGUUGGUGGGGUAGUGGCUUACCAAGGCUUUGAUGGGUAGCCGGCCUGAGAGGGUGACCGGCCACAGUGGGACUGAGAUACGGCCCAGACUCCUACGGGAGGCAGCAGUGGGGAAUAUUGCACAAUGGGCGGAAGCCUGAUGCAGCAACGCCGCGUGCGGGAUGACGGCCUUCGGGUUGUAAACCGCUUUCGCCUGUGACGAAGCGUGAGUGACGGUAAUGGGUAAAGAAGCACCGGCUAACUACGUG